rnacentral:rRNA from 1 species
CGGCCGCAGAGUUUGAUCAUGGCUCAGAAUCAACGCUGGCGGCGUGCCUAACACAUGCAAGUCGAACGUGAAAUGGGGCAACCCAAAGUAAAGUGGCGUACGGGUGAGUAACACGUAGGUAAUCUACCCCAGAAUCCGGAAUAACCGGCCGAAAGGCUGGCUAAUACUGGAUAGAGCGACGGAAUCCGUAAUUGGGUUUUUCGGGAAAGGGAGCUCGCAAGAGCCUUCGUUCUGGGAUGAGCCUGCGUCUCAUUAGCUAGUUGGCGGGGUUACGGCCCACCAAGGCAUUGAUGAGUAGCUGGUCUGAGAGGAUGAUCAGCCACACUGGAACUGAAACACGGUCCAGACUCCUACGGGAGGCAGCAGUGGGGAAUCUUGCGCAAUGGACGAAAGCCUGACGCAGCCACGCCGCGUGAGUGAAGAAGGCCUUCGGGUCGUAAAGCUCUGUCGGAGGGGACGAACAUCCUUUGGGUUAACAGCCCAGAGGACUGACGGUACCCUCAAAGGAAGCACCGG